rnacentral:ncRNA from 2 species
GACAGCCUGCGCAUUGUCGGCGUAUAAAGACAACGAUUUUUGAGAGCAAUGGCAUGUUCGGAACGCGGUGAAAAUCCGCGACGGUCCCGCCGCUGUAAUCGGGGAGUUCGACCGCAUUGAGCCACUGGCCCGCGUCCGCCGCAAGCGGAUAGCGGGAUGGGAAGGCGCGGCCGGAUGGCGAUCCGAAAGUCAGAAGACCUGCCGUCUGCUCGCGUGAAAC